rnacentral:rRNA from 1 species
CAGUAGCCACGGGAAUACGAAGGGGGCUAGCGUUGCUCGGAAUGACUGGGCGUAAAGGGCGCGUAGGCGGAUUGUUUAGUUAGGCGUGAAAUUCCUGGGCUUAACCUGGGGACUGCGCUUAAUACAGGCAGUCUAGAGUGAGGAAGAGGGUUGUGGAAUUCCCAGUGUAGAGGUGAAAUUCGUAGAUAUUGGGAAGAACACCGGUGGCGAAGGCGGCAACCUGGUCCUUGACUGACGCUGAGGCGCGAAAGCGUGGGGAGCAAACAGGAUUAGAGACCCGAGUAGUCCCUGUCUCUUAUAC